GACGAACGCUGGCGGCGUGCUUAACACAUGCAAGUCGAACGAGACCCCGUCUUCGGGUGGGUGUUCUAGUGGCGAACGGGUGAGUAACACGUGGGCAACCUGCCCCUGGCUCUGGGAUAACUCCAAGAAAUUGGGGCUAAUACCGGAUAUUCACUGCUGGCCGCAUGGUUGGUGGUGGAAAGAUUUAUCGGCUGGGGAUGGGCCCGCGGCCUAUCAGCUUGUUGGUGGGGUAGUGGCCACCAAGGCGACGACGGGUAGCCGGCCUGAGAGGGUGUCCGGCCACACUGGGACUGAGAUACGGCCCAGACUCCUACGGGAGGCAGCAGUGGGGAAUCUUGCGCAAUGGCCGCAAGGCUGACGCAGCGACGCCGCGUGUGGGAGGACG
rnacentral:rRNA from 1 species